CAGCAGCCACGGGAAUACGUAGGUGGCGAGCGUUGUCCGGAAUUAUUGGGUGUAAAGGGAGCGCAGGCGGACAUAUAAGUCCAUCUUAAAAGUGCGGGGCUCAACCCCGUGAGGGGAUGGAAACUGUAUGCCUUGAGUGCAGGAGAGGAAAGCGGAAUUCCCAGUGUAGCGGUGAAAUGCGUAGAUAUUGGGAGGAACACCAGUGGCGAAGGCGGCUUUUUGGACUGCAACUGACGCUGAGGCUCGAAAGCCAGGGGAGCGAACGGGAUUAGAGACCCCCGUAGUCCCUGUCUCUUAUACA
rnacentral:rRNA from 1 species